UCAUGCCCGUGAGCAAUUAUGGAGUGAAUUUUAGGGCUUAUAAAUCUAAUAUUCUCCUAUCCUUCCUUAAUACCGGUUCCCAUAUGCUGUUCAUAUCUGCACUCGGUUUGCUUAGGAGGUCGUUGUGUCCUAGAAUAUGUGCCGCUUCUUUUAGUUUUCGUACUUCGCA